rnacentral:tRNA from 1 species
AUUCAAGUGGUGUUAAGCAUAAGCUCUUUUCGUGAGUUCGGGUGUUGAAUU